rnacentral:rRNA from 1 species
GUGACCGUGGCGGUGGAGGAGGAGGAUGAGGUAGCCAACACUGUUUUUAUAUAUAUAUAUAUAUAUAUAUAUAUAAAUAUAUAUAUAUUUUAAUUGGGGUAGCCCCCAAAAUAUUGGGACAUAUAAAAAAAGACAACUCUGUUCUGCAGAGUAGCUGUUGACAUUAUAGUUGCUCAGGAACUUUGUUGACUCUAGAGAACCUCGGGCAAAUCGCACAUCCCCGUGAUGGCGACUUUGCAUGCGGAUGUCAUCCAUAUCAACUUUCGAUGCCAGUUUCUGCGCCUACCAUGGUGACCACGGGUAACGCGGAAUCAGGAUUCCAUUCCGUACAGGGACCCUGAGAAACGGCUACCACAUGCAAGGAAGGCA